rnacentral:lncRNA from 1 species
AGAGGUCAUCCAGCUUCAAGACACAGGAGGACAAACAAUCGGAUGCCACUGAGUCUUUUGAGACUGACAUCUUCAGAACAACCGAGCAGACUCCUCAGAGGUCAUCCAGCUUCAAGACACAGGUACUAGUUUCUCUCUUUUAUGGUCUUUCAAUGGUUCAGACUUUAGGUUGUAACCUUCUACUGUUUAGUUUUGAGGUGUCCUCUUCCUAAUUGUUAAUUUUCUUCAUGGAAGUCAAUUUUAGAUUUGUAUACAUCAAUGUAAAUCCUAAGUCUGAUAUAAGCUGCUAAGCACAUUCUGGUUUUUGUGAUUUCAUGGGGACCAGUCAAUAGGACCAGUGUUUAGUGGUGACCUCUCCCUGUGAUACACACACCUGUCAGGUCUCUUGUCAUUGUGGGGUCCACGCAAACUAAAAAUUAUUGUAGACACUGGACCACAUUAAUGACUCUUUUCUGUCUAUAAGUCUGAACAUAUACAUUCUACAACAUGUGUCACUGAACUUGAGAUCAGUUUGCUUUCUCCAAUUCGUGCAAGCUGUUGGCUACAGGUGAAUUUAG